rnacentral:rRNA from 1 species
CCUACGGGUGGCAGCAGUGGGGAAUAUUGGGCAAUGGGCGCAAGCCUGACCCAGCAACGCCGCGUGAAUGAAGAAGGCUUUCGGGUUGUAAACUUCUUUUAAGAGGGAAGAGCAGAAGACGGUACCUCUUGAAUAAGCCACGGCUAACUACGUGCCAGCAGCCGCGGUAAUACGUAGGUGGCAAGCGUUGGGCGGAUUUACUGGGUGUAAAGGGCGUGUAGCCGGGCUGACAAGUCAGAUGUGAAAUCCGGGUGCUGAACCCCCGAACUGCAUUUGAAACUGUUGGUCUUGAGUAUCGGAGAGGCAAGCGGAAUUCCUAGUGUAGCGGUGAAAUGCGUAGAUAUUAGGAGGAACACCAGUGGCGAAGGCGGCCUGCUGGACGACAACUGACGGUGAGGCGCGAAAGCGUGGGGAGCAAACAGGAUUAGAUACCCCAGUAGUC